rnacentral:sRNA from 1 species
AUAAUCUCUGCUAACCGUAGACAGCAGGUGCGAGUAAUCGCCUAAAUAUCCUGCCGAGGAAGUGCGAAAAAAUAAAAUUUUCAAACCCCCGUAUGUCUAUGCGGGGGUUGUUUUUUUG